UUCUACCUGCAGCCGUUUUCAAGAAUCUGAGGUAUUUCCAGGCCAGUAUCUCUUCCCUCUGCCUGCAUAUCUCAGGUCAAUUGUGCAGCCCCAGCUACUGGGUUAUAGUGCUGUAGGGAUUGGAAGAAGGGAGAGAUGACCGCUGGAGCUUCCUGUGACUAAGGUACAUGGCAGGUUACAACUCUUCACUCCAUCAAAAGGACUAUGGUUAUGUAACCAGCUCUAGUCAACCACAUGCAUAUAUCAGAAAUGUCAGAAGCCAACCUGGGAUGCAGAAUUUGAAAGCUGAUUCCUGUGUGGAAAUGGUGCUGUCUUCAUCAGCCUGAGUUCCCAGUAACUCAAUGGACCAGGGGACGUUUCUUCCUUUCAGGUUCCAUCCAUGGUUGAACUUAGGAUGUAAAUGUUAGUAUGUUCCUCACAGCUAUUGCGAUUCUUCAGACUGUGAGGUAUCUCAGUGCAAUCCCAACCAUCUGUCUGGAAUGAUACAUUUUCUGAUUAGUGGCCUAUCAUCUGGGCCUCCCUCUGAGACUGGACUUUUCUGGCAACUUUCAAAGACUUCUGAAUCCACAUUCUAAAUGCCAGCACUGAAGAGAUUGCCUUGCUCCCAGUGAAAACAUAAAAUGUUGAUAUAAUCCCCUCGAAUGUUCUGAUAAACUAUAGUCCAACAACAUUCAUCCCAUUCUUCUAGGGUCCUGGAAGAUGGCCACAUUGACAUACCAAUGUUAUAUUCAUAGAUCCCCAGACAGUGAGGUUUACAGCAUAUGUUUCCAUUUCAGUUUUGUAAAUCAGUUGUAGCAGUCAAUUCAGUCAUAGUGUUCUGUCCAAAACAGAGGACUAUUCUGGACAGGCAUGUGAGGUGAAGGAUUAUGGGAAAAAAACAAGUGCAAUGGAUUUAGAAGGAAGUAUAUUGAUAUUGUGGGAGAACAAAAUCAGCAUAUCUGAGCUAUAAAAAUAGCACAAGUCUCCACAUUAAAUUCUAUGAAUCUCAGUUUAAUCUAUAUAUGAUAAAAUAUUCAAAAGCUCAAAGGAAUUAAAUAUUUUAGUAAGAGAAAGAUAUUUAGCAAAAGUCUUUUACAGUCGCUCUCUCUCUGAAAUGAACUUGACCCAGGCAGGGUCUGAAUGUGGAACAGUCAGACCUGGGCACAGCAUGUCCAAGGCCAUGUGUGAAGCUGAGUUCCUUUCUCUGUAAUAGCCCUCCAUCCUGGAGCUUCAUGGCUUCCACUCACACCCUUUUGAGUUAUUCUUCUGAGAUCAGUCAGGUAUCAUGCAUGGGCUGGAUAGAACAUAAAAUUGGAAUACUGGAAACUAAAAACGGAACUGCCAUAUGGUCCAGUAAUCCCAUUUCUGGGUACAUAUCCAAACGAAUUAAAAUCAGUAUGUCAAGGAGACAUCUGCACUCCCAUGUUCAUUUCAGAAUUAUUCACAAUAGCCAAGACAUGGAACCAAUAUAAGUAUCCAUCAAUAGAUGAAUGGAUUAAGAAAACAUGUAUGUGAUAUGUAAGUGCAAUGGAAUAUUACACAGCCUUUAAAAUGAAUUAGAUUCUAUUAUUUAUGCCUACAUGGAUGGGAGAAGAAAGCAUGUCAGGUCAAAUAAAAGAGGCACAGAAAUAUUUUAUAUGUUACUAUGCUUCAAUAUGGAAUCUUUAAAAAGAAGAAUUUAGACAUACUAAGUAGGCAACUGGUUAUCAGUGGCUGGGGAGAGAGAGAGAAAUGGGUGAAGGUAUUUGGGAUCAAAUGAAGUUAUUUCAGUUAAAACUCUAAGCAGAGACUUCAAUGAUUUAUUGUACUGCCUGGUCAACAUAGUUAAUGGUACAUUUCAAAAUUGAUUGACCAUAGAUUUUCACCUUCUUAUCACACAUAAAAAAAGUUGUUUGUUACCAGAUGUGUUAAACACCCGGGCCAACUAUCUGUAUGAUAUGUCCAUAGGCCAGAUAUCAAAUUGUAUCUCAUAAAUAUGCAUAAUUAUUAGUUGUCAAUUAAAUAUUUUAAUUACAAAAAUUCAAGAAAAACUGUAACAAAUUUGCAUUAGAGUUUAGGAGGGAUGUGUGUGAACAUAUGUGCAUAUGUACAUGCAUGUAUGUAGCACGGGUUGUCAAGCGUUUUUAAAUUGAAUUUACUGUCAAAUUCAGCUCCUGCCUUACAUUGCCCUCUGUAAUGGAAUACUUUAGGAGAUGACACUUGCAAAAAGCCAGCUUGGAUGUGGAAAGGCAAAUUUCUGCAUGCUCCUAUUUCCAGUUGUAAAAGAACAUUGCUAACCCAAUUGGAAAUGAUUAUUUUGAACUCUAACAAGCCCUUAAACGAAUCUUCCUGUAGAGAAGGCUUCUGUCAAAGUAUUAAUGGCUGAAUCAUUUCUCCUGCUGAAGAUGUGUUGGCCCAACAAAAUCUGAUUCUGCCUCUCGAGUGGCAAAACAUGCCAGAACAUCAGGCGGCUAGUGCUCCGCAUGCAUUCGGGUCUGCCUGCUCUUCUCAUUUUGUGAGCCUCACAGGCUCUUCAGCAACUGUUGCUUCAAAUCCAGGAGAUGUGAAACUUUCAUGCAGGGUUGCCUUUGGAGAAGUGAAUAAAGAUGCCUGCUGGAGUCCAGGUCUGACCACUGUUAUCACAGAAAAUAAAGCCACUCCUGUUUCAGGACAAACAGCAUGCAGGAGGCAAGGUCGACAGUAAAAACAGGUAUGUCUGAUGUUUUCCCAUUCCCAUGCCCUCUGCGUGCAUCUCAACGCUGCAUUUCUACUCCAUUGAUUCUGUAGCAAGAAACAUUCAUAGUAACAACGAUCAGAUCGGAGCUCCAUGGCCGACCACCUAGAAAGAACUGGUCUGUGCUGUGAGUCUGGGCCCUGAGCACAGCCCUGAGCUUUCUGCAUGGCUAGUGCGGGACAAUGUCCCACACUCAGUUUCAAAAUGCGCUGUCAGUCAGAGCUCUGGCAUCAGUGCGACCUCAAAGGGCGAGAGCAGUCACCGUGGAGUCCUGGUCAGUGACUGGUGGCCGGGUGGGUGAGGUGGGGUGGAAAGACGCACUUUGGGGCACUGACAUUCGCUUUUCCCAUGCUCUGACAACAAGCUGUCCACAGGAGUUUGCUUUCUCCCACCUUCACAGCCGGCUCUUUCUGUCCCCCUUCUUUCCUGGUUCACCUCUCCCCCACUGUGCCCUGCCUUUGCUGAAAGAAAGAGACUUAAGUGUCACAAAAGGCCAAGGGUAGCUCAGUUUCAGACCCCAGGGCAACAUGUGUUCAGCGAACAGGAGUGUAAGAAACACUGCAUACAGCAGUUAAUGCUCUAGACAUCCCAGUUUCUGAUAGAGCCUCCUUUGUAGCCGUGCAUAUUUAUUGACAUUCAAAGAGGUUGUGCUCGCAUACCAGACAACAGCUAUUGAGAACACAGGCAAUCUUAAAAUGAUUAAGGCCCUGGAGUUUACUAAAGAUAUGGUAUGCAAAGAAUCACGAGAAAGCCAUAGAAUAUUAAAAAUAUUAAUAAUGUCAGUUCUAAUAAUUCAAUAUGAGAUUUAUUGUAGCCCAAUCCUGUUCCAAAUGGCAUACCCUGUCUUUUUUUUUCUGGAGAGUGAACAAAGAUCACGGAACAGAUUGUAACCUGGGUAAAUUGCGUGUCUGUUUACAAUUGUAUUUCACAUAUUUUAUAUACCAUUUGCAAACUAUUCCCCAAAGAAAUAUGCAUCAAACUUUUGGGGAAAAAAAAUGAAGAUUUGAUGACAAUCUGUUUUCCGUUCAUUUGUUUCAGAUGCUGCUGAGAUCCUUUGUAUUUUGAAUGCAAUGUCUCAGGCUGGAUAUCACUGGGUUCUUUUGUUCUUUCAGGCUUUACAUGCAUAAACUACAUUUCUUGUAAUGAUAUCACCACGAUUAAGUAAAAAGGAUGGAGGGAAUAAAGCCCUUCUAGAAGACUGCAGUUUACACAUGCAAUGUAAUCACGAACUUCUGAUCAAAUGUGUGUUUCGAGUGUGUUUCACUCUCACUCUGAAAACUCAAGUCCUUCUACCUAAAGCUUGCUCCUACAGGGACAUGGGAUUCGUGAGUUCCAAGGUUGUCAUCACAGAGGCAUCUUAGGUUACCAGUUGAGGAAAGCAGUUAAGUGUUUCAGAAUAUUUAUGAAUAUGUUUUCCUGGUCUGUACUUUGGGGAUGGGAAAUAAUUCCCUAGUAAUUAAUUGGUGUAACUUAUUUAACUGUCAAAACUGAAGACUAAUCUUGGAGUAGCCGUUUAACCAUUUGAACAACCAAUGGUGACUACUAAGGAGUGUGACUCACAGAAAACACUGGGGAAGGGCAGUGAUUCGGUACUGCUUGCUAAAUGGCUGCAUAUGGCUCAGUCUUACGAUUACUCACAGCGUAUUAAUUGAAGCUCUCUACUCCUAAGUCAGCCCGGAGAUCAGACAAAAAGCACUCUCUCAUUAAGAAAAGACAUUUCUAUCCCACUACAAAUAAGGGCUCUUGUAUCAUACUCAGACUAAAUACUAUUGUACACUUGAUAUUUAAUUACUGUUUGUACUUGAAUUGAAAGCAUUAAAAAAUACACAUUUUUCAAAAUGCCUUCAAAAAUAAUUAUGAGAAAAAAAAGUACAUUACUAUCAAGUCAACUUGUGCACAGACAUCUAAUAAAUAUAUCUUAUGACUAGUCAUUGUGAUAAAGGAUAAUAAGGACUGGGAGUAAGGGUUGGCUUUGGCUUAGAAACUAAACACACACAUUUCAUAGUAAAUGAUGAGGAUCACUGGAUAGGCACGUUAAGGAGCUUGGGAAAGAGAGCAGUUACUCACUGAAAACGCUUUUGGCCACUCUUGACCUUUGAGUUCCCAACUUAAAGGACACAUAAACAACACCAUUCUCCAGCAAGUUGCCUUGAUAACCUGCUGGAAACGGGACAGAAUAUCCUGCAGCCAUUUGACAUGCACAAUUUAGCAAUUAUGUGGUUGGGGAGGAAUGAUUUUGUUAAGCCACUGGGGACUGCUGGUGUUUACAGCCUUUACAGAUUUAUAGAAAAAUCCAAAGUCUAACCAGGCACAAUCAACAUCACAGUAGCACAGUGUGAGGCAGACGGUCUACGGGAAAAGCAGACACAGACAAUUUCAAGUACAUAGGUCAAUCUAAACCAAAAAGAAGCGAGUAAGGGAGACUAGAAGGUCUUGAGUUGAGGCUAUCCAUUCCUGUGUUUACAAGGUGGGUGUCUAAAAGUCACAGGAAAAGUUUUUAAGUACAAAUUUAAGAAAUACCUUUUCUCCAGAUGAAGAAAUAUUAAAGUUUGUUUUACUUUCUAACUAAAAGAAGGUAUCAUUUUCCUCCUAGCUUUGAGACUUACAAUUUUUAUUUAUUUUUAUUUUCCAGGACAUACACAAGUUACUGGCAAGUUGAAUAGUGCCAUUGCUUUAAAUAUUUCAAUCUAAUUCAGGAUUCUUGAUUUGUUUCCUCUGUGAAUAAUUUAAAACUCUUUUCUUUUGUUUAGUUUCCUUGAUAGGAAAAAUACGGUAUUUACAUUUUCCUUUUUAAAAGACAAAUAGAUUAAAAGUCGAGAUUUUCUUUUCCUCAUCAUAAAGUAAAAUCAUGUUCAAACUUUUAUAUUUUUUUUUACAUGCAAGCACAGCUUAGUGCUCACUCCCAGCACUCCACUUCAGUGGGGGUGGAUUCCACAGUCCUGUGCCCUCAUCAAUCAGGUACAAUUGCAGCAGGCAUGACUGGAUCCCCUCACCCUAACCCAUUCCCUGCUGCUUGGGCACUGCCUGCCAAAUGUUGCAGGAAGUGACUGGAAUAUGCACAGCACUCCAGCCCGACCCUCAGGGAGCUUGGGGGUCACUGCCAUCCCCACGGAGAACCCAGAACAGCUGCUCUCCAAGCAAGGAGUCUGGAGUCCAGUCAGUUUGCAGAAGAUCAUCUCUCACAGGGAUUUGUGAUCCUGCCAGCUCAACGCAUCCAAUGAAACCAGCCCCCUGCACCCACAUCUCCCUUCAGUGUCUAGUUCAGGACAUUGAUGCUGGAGUUGAAAUGUAAAGAUUAGAUUUUAGCUUUGUUUUUACUAAACCGAGAAGCCAAGCAAGUUAAAAAAAAGUGUCUGAAUUAGAUAAUGAGUUAAUUAUCUAAUGAAGGGCAAGUAGACGUGUCAAGAAAGGUCCACGGUGAUAGGGGCAAGAGAUGGAGAAAGAUUGGUUCACACAGAAAUUGGCUGUUGAUGUUCCAAGGACCUUGAAGUAGACUCCCAAUUUCGAUGCAGCCUUAAUGCAAGUGUGAUUUUUCAGCAGAUGGAAUGCAGAAGGCUAGGACUCCCUAAACUAAGUUACACAAAAUUGAUAUUCAUCCAUCGGGACUUAGGAACUUUUGGGGAUCUACCUGGCAAAGAAACGUAUGUGAACAUGCCCCACAAUGCAACAGUAACAUGAUGGUUCUUGGACGACGCCUUACUGUGCUUGUCUCGAACAGAUGUAUUUUGUGCCUUGCAGCCCCUGCAUAGGAAUAUUGGCUGCAACUCCCGCCUUAAAGGGACUAAGCAUGAUGAUUUUCCACAUGCUGAGCAGCUGAACAAGUGUGUGCUCUGUGCAUGAUUACACAGUUCCUCCAUUGCAAGAAGCAACAGCAAUGAUGUCUUUGAUGGUUGGACUGUCAGGUCCCUCUCCCAAGAAUUACACAUACACAUGAGAUAUCCUUUGAUGAUUGACAGGAUCCUGCCAAGUGCCACUCAUGACUACUACCUUAACAUGGAAAUUCCUUAGUCUCCUGUGUGGAAUCUUCUGAUGCCACCAUCUCUGCACUUUUAUGGAUGAUGAGCCAAUCACUGACCCUGACAAGACUUGCUAUCAUCUCCGGAUGGGAUAGGAGUCAAUUCAAUCUGUAUUGACAUAAAAAUCUGAUGCUCCCCUCGAUUCCUAGCAUCAGGUGGUCUCCACAGUUGCCUUCUGUCUUUGCUAAGAUUCCCAAGCACUCAUUUCCCACACCUUCACACACACCCCCAAGACACAUUCUGCUUCUUCUUUGCUUUGUGUUCCUCUGGAACACUUUCUACAACUGAAAAGACUACCUCUUCUCUGUCUCUUUUCCUCUGCCUUCUUCUGACUAGAAUGAGAGUUGACUGGGACAGUAUUUUGCUAUUGUUUAUUACUCUAUCCACACUGUACAUUCCAAUCUACACUCUCAUUGUAACUCUUUAAAUAUGCAUUGAGCUAGUAAAUACAUGAAUAUACUCAUAAGUGAAUGAAAGUGAGAGAUUAUUUCUAAAUGUGUGUUUGGUGUCCUGUGAAUUUACCUGGGGGGGGGGUUCUCUUUUUUUUUUUUUUCUUUUUCAGUGCAUUUUUUGGCAAUGCUAUUUCUCAAACAUUUUGGGCCAAAUAGAAUAUUUUUCUUUGAACUACAUGUUUUUCAAUGUGUUUUCUAUGGUGCAAUUGAUGUUAAUUCUAGUGUGGGUGUGAGUGUUUUGGUCAUGUGGGUGAAGGAGUUGCUUAUUGGAGUUGGCCAGUACAGGAUGAGAGGCUCACUCUGCUCAGUUCCUAGCCAAUGGAAUGGACUGUUUUUUUUUUUUUU